UACGGAGGGUGCGAGCGUUUAUCGGAAUUACUGGGCGUAAAGCGCGCGUAGGCGGCUUGUUAAGUCGGAUGUGAAAUCCCCGGGCUCAACCUGGGAACUGCAUCCGAUACUGGCGAGCUGGAGUGCGAUAGAGGGGGGUAGAAUUCCUAGUGUAGCGGUGAAAUGCGUAGAUAUUAGGAGGAAUACCGGUGGCGAAGGCGGCCCCCUGGAUCGACACUGACGCUGAGGUGCGAAAGCGUGGGUAGCAAACAGGAUUAGAUACCCUGGUAGUCCACGCCGUAAACGAUGUCUACUAGCCGUUGGAGAUCUAGAAUCUUUAGUGGCGAAGCUAACGCGAUAAGUAGACCGCCUGGGGAGUACGGCCGCAAGGUUAAA
rnacentral:rRNA from 1 species